CUGUGAUCACAAACGUUUUAGUCGGGCAAAUUUUACUGGACUGAAAGCCGGGCAAUUUGUUAUAGACCUUUUUUGCUUCUGCCAUGCAGGUAUAUAUUUUGUCAUGAUAUUAAUGUUGAUAUAUUAAUAUUUAUAGUCAGAGAAAUUGAAUGCCAGAUGGACAUUUGUUUCUGUAAAUGUAAAUUGCACUUAUUGCAGGCAGUAAAGUGAAGAGUUUUCGACAUAAUAUUAUCUUAAUUAAAGAAUGAAAUCCCAGAAAUACAACAGUAAAUAGUUCGGGGGGCAAAUGCCGUCAAAACAUUACACAAACCAAAACAAUCGUAUAUUUACUCACCGCUUGGCCAAACAUUCUGUACGUAUUUCAUAUCGAGAAAAAACUUGUGUCAAUGUGAGUAAAAUACUCCUUGGAUUCAAACGCUUUCAUGUCGAAAGUUUCGUUUGAAUACGGCGAGUAGAAAUAUUUAUUUUGAAUUUUUCAAAAUACUGAUCGGGUUUUACUCGCACGCACGUGCCACACGCUUUACCAACUGGCAACUGAAGAAGCAUCCGUAGCCGGAUACACGUUAGCCGCCAAAGUCAGACGAAUAACGAAUUAAUUCGUUAUUCGUCUGACUCAGGCUAAAUACACGUCAAAUCACUCGUUAUUGGGGGUAGUUUGACCUUUACAAUCGAUUUACAGCAUUUGCAGACACAUGUAGCCAUAGGGUACAACCACAGUUAAUAGAAUGAGAUACAACUCAUCUCAUUGUUUUGACGUUUUAAAAUUGUAUUUCCAGUUCGGAGUAGCCGCUCAGAAAUAACCGAAAUAAAACAUGAAAAUCUGAAGAUACUUACAAGCUUGAAAAUAACUCACUAAAUAGCUAGUGUUUUGGAUUUUGAUUAUGGAAAGUUUAAACCCUCCCUACAGCGCGACUUCCGCUCCUCGCAUCGUGCCGAAUGCUUGUUAGCCAAAUCGAACAAUUUCUGGCACAAGUUUUACAAGGUUACAAUAAUAAAAUUAUAAAAUCAUUAUAUGGAGACUCAUGCGUAACAUCUAUACGCAAGAAAAUCGAUCGGUCUCGGGAACCAUAUAUGUAGAGUUUUUCGGUUGACCAGUGUACGGGAUAAUGCAAUCGAUGCACAUAUCGAGCUGCAAUCGGGAUAAAAAUAAGCGAUAACUGACUAAAAUUUUAAUUUCUAAAAUUUCUCUGUAUUUUUAUAUUGCUGUUAUGAGUUAUAAUACGCGCGCGCCGCCAUCUUCUCCCAAAUUUCUGGUAAUGAAGAUCAGGGCACAUUAUACUUUCAAUUUGAAUGAAUAAUUUAUGUAUUUAAUUAAUUGACCUUUUGCGUAAUAGACUAAAUUUUGAUCUCAACAAAAAUUUCAUCACAGCUUGAAAGAGCAUCACAAAAUUAGUAAUGUUCCAAAGUUUCGUUGCGAAAUGUUGUAAAAUGCGGAAAAUUUAGCCUUGCGAAGUUUGCAAUUUUCAGUCAUUUUAGAUUACAAACCGGAAAUUGACAGCCUCAAACCCUUCGAGGCUGUCAAUUUCCCGUUGUAAUCUAAAAUGACUGAAAAUUGCAAACUUCGCAAGGCUAUAUUAUCUGCAUUUUACAACAUUUCGCAACGAAACUUUGGAAUAUUACUAAUUUUGUGAUGCUCUUUCAAGCUGUGAUGAAAUUUUUGUCUAGACUUGUUUAGAUCAAAAUUUAGUCUAUUACGCAAAUGGUCAAUUAGUUCUCUAUUUUAUACAGAAUGACGUCAUUUAUGAAACUAUCUGCCUUUUUCAUCAUGGUGUCACUGAUGUUGGUACCAAUGAUUAACAAUGUGGGUGCGGAGUGCUACAUGAAUUGCGCUGCAAAACACUGGUCUUGUUUCAAUGUUUGCGUUAACCAACAAUGUGUUGAUUGUCGAAACAGUCAGUGGCAUUGUUUUGAAGGCUGUGUUAAACAAAACAAGGUGAGAAAACGAAAUCGAUUAUUCAAAUAUGUCGACGAAGAUAUAAAGAAUUCAAAGCAAGUUGGAAACCAGGACACCAUCAGUCAAUCAACGAAACUUAUAGUAUAAUUGAAUUCAUCGUUAUUUUUGUGAACUUUACUUUCUGUGAACUAUGUUUUUUUUUUAAUAGCGGCCACUAUAUUAUAUAAGUUAAACGGUAAGAUGAUGUAAUUCUUGCACAUAGUAUUUUAGUUUCAUUGCAAAUGUGUUUAAGUGCAUGUAAGACGAAACUCUUUGUUAUCUUCAACGAAAACCCUAUUUCAACUUUCGCUUUUUUACUAACAUAUUCCGCGCUGUCUUUACUAAUAAAGUAACGGGAAAUAUGUAAAAUGUUUCAGGAGUACUGUUUCAUUGUCGACGUUAUUUUGUAGGCGUAUCUCAAUAAAACAUUAAAUCUUAAUAAGGUGGCUCAAUACAGUUUUCUAAAGAUGGUAAAUUUGCGAUUUAGAUGCGUAUUUUUGGACAAGUAUAUUAAGUAUUACUUGUUGAAAAACAAAAAGUAUCUUAUUUACGUAAAAUAACAUGUAAUUAAAGAGUUUGAAUUUUUGACGCUUCAAUAGACCUUUCCGGUAAUUACGUCACAGCUACAUUGUUUUCAACUUAGGACCACCUUAAAUGGAAUGGAUUUCAACUUUUUUCUCAUUGGCUAUGCGCAAAAAAGCAGAGCAUCCUUCUUCAACACAUGCAUGAAAAAUAUUUUUUUAUUUUGACCAAUAAGCGACUAAGCUUUAACACGAAAACGGGGCUAAGGGACCAUUAUGGCCCCUUUGGGCCCCUCAGCCUCGUUUACGUGUUAAAACUUAGUCCCUUAUUGGUCAAAAUAAUAUUUUUUUAUCAUGUAUGUGUUAACGAAGGACGUUCUGCUUCUUCGCGCAUAGCCAGUGAGAAAAAAAACUUGAACUCCAUUCCACUUAAGCGUGAUUUAAGGUGGUCCUAAGUUGAAAACAAUGUAGUUGUGACAUAAUUACCGAAAAGGUCCAUUGAUGGCAGUUAUUCUGGCUUUAAAGAAAUUAACCGAAAACGACUUUGGUGACCCCAAUUUUUAUUUCAUAAAAUGGUUUCUUUUAGUGUAUUGAAUGACGUUGACAAUUUGAAAAAUUCUGUUGAGCCGAAAAUUUUCAAAUUACGUAAAGGUGAUUAUGCAUAAUUUUUUUGGCUCAAAACCUUUUUAAAAAUUUGCCAAAAUAAUUUAUUAUACUAAGCAAAAUCAUUUUUUGAAAUAAAAUUUGGGGGUCACCCAUAUCGUUUACGAGUUAAAUUACUUUAAUUGACAAAAUAUCCGCCAUCUUGAAACGUCACUGUUGCCAUAGCAUACUAAUGCUUGAUAAUAUUUUAUAUCAGUAGGACACUUUUUGUUUUUCAACCAGUAAUAAUUGUCCAAAAAUACGGAUCUGAAUCGUGAAUUUUCCAUUUUCUCAAAAACAGUGUAUUGAGCAACCUUAAAGCAAUGCAACCACCACCGAGAAUGAUUUAUACGUUUCAUUGUUUCUUUAUUUAUUUCUCGUACAGAAGUUAUCAUGCUUAUACUUAAAUCAUUUCGUUUGAAGAUGACAAUGAAUAUAAAGUUCUCGCCAAUAUCUCAUUAUAAAUCAAUUUUACUUAAAAUAUACUGUACGUAUACUGAAAUAUGAUAUUACAUAUUUAUUAACCAUAAACUGUUAUUUAAUACUCAAUG